rnacentral:rRNA from 1 species
GACGAACGCUGGCGGCGUGCUUAACACAUGCAAGUCGAACGGUGAAGCGCCUUCCUUUUUGGUGGGUGUGGCUGAGUGGCGAACGGGUGAGUAACACGUGAGUAACCUGCCCCCUUCUUCUGGAUAAACGCCUGAAAGCGUGGCCAAUACGGGAUAUUCUGGGUCUGUCGCCUGAUGGGUCUGGGAAAGAUAUUGUUUCGGUGGGGGAUGGGCUCGCGGCCUAUCAGCUCGUUGGUGGGGUGAUGGCCUACCAAGGCGGUGACGGGUCGCCGGCCUGAGAGGGGGGACGGGCACGCUAGGACGGAGACACGGCCCAGACUCGUACGGGAGGCGGCGGAGGGGUAGAGUGCACAGCGGGCGCAGGGCUGGUGCAGCGACGCCGCGUGAGGUGGGGAGGCAGGCGGGUUGGGAUCCACUUUCGCGAGGGAAGCAGGGCUGCCUCGGUUGUGGGUGGGUUGACGGUAGCUGGAGAAGAAGCGCCGGCUAACUACGUG